rnacentral:rRNA from 1 species
AACGAACGCUGGCGGCAUGCCUAACACAUGCCAGUCGAACGAGACCUUCGGGUCUAGUUGCGCACGGGUGCGUAACGCGUGGGAACCUGCCCUUAGGUUCGGAAUAACACCCCGAAAGGGGGGCUAAUACCGGAUAAUGUCUUCGGACCAAAGAUUUAUCGACUUUGGAUGGGCCCGCGUUGGAUUAGCUAGUUGGUAGGGUAAAAGCCUACCAAGGCGACGAUCCAUAGCUGGUCUGAGAGGAUGAUCAGCCACACUGGGACUGGGACACGGCCCAGACUCCUACGGGAGGCAGCAGUGGGGAAUAUUGGACAAUGGGCGAAAGCCUGAUCCAGCAAUGCCGCGUGAGUGAUGAAGGCCUUAGGGUUGUAAAGCUCUUUUACCCGGGAUGAUAAUGACAGUACCGGGAGAAUAAGCUCCGGCUAACUCCGUG